UUGGCUGGCUGGGCAGUCGCCGCUUACUUCGGUAGGGGGAGGAAAGUCCGGACUUCGCAGGGUAAAGUGCCAGGUAACGCCUGGGGAGCGAAAGCUCACGGCAAGUGCAGCAGAAAAUAUACCGCCGAUGGCGUUUGUGAAAACGGACGAACAGGUAAGGUUGAAAUGGUGCGGUAAGAGCGCACCGCGCUUAUGGCAACAUAAGUGGCAUGGUAAACCCCACUUGAAGUAAGACCAAAUAGGGAUCCUACAGGUGUGACCCGCACUGGAUCCGGGUAGGUUGCUUGAGCUUUGUGGCGACGCAAAGCCUAGAAGAAUGACUGUCCCAGACAGAAUCCGGCUUACAGGCCAGCCAAAUUU
rnacentral:RNase_P_RNA from 1 species